rnacentral:rRNA from 1 species
AAGAGAGAGACAUGCGCGCAUAUCAAUAAGCGGAGGAAAAGAAACUAACAAGGAUUCCCCUAGUAACGGCGAGUGAAGCGGGAAGAGCUCAAAUUUGAAAUCUUAAAGGGUUUCCCUUUACGAAUUGUAGUUUAAAGAAGUGUUUUCUGCUGAGGUUUUGGUAAAAGUUCUUUGGAAUAGGACAUCAUAGAGGGUGAGAAUCCCGUAUUUGACCUUUACUUUCAACUUUGUGAUACACUUUCAAAGAGUCGGAUUGUUUGGGAAUGCAGUCCAAAAUGGGUGGUAAAUUUCAUCUAAAGCUAAAUAUUGGCGAGAGACCGAUAGCGAACAAGUACCGUGAGGGAAAGAUGAAAAGAACUUUGAAAAGAGAGUUAAACAGUACGUGAAAUUGUCAAAAGGGAAGCGUUUGACACCAGUGUUGUUUUUCUGAAAAUCAAUUAAAGAACUGUUUAUGCUAAGUUGUUUAGACUUUAUCAGCUAACUGUUUAGUUUUGAGCUUUUCUUUAAUGCACUUUUCAGUUAACAAGUCAACAUCAAUUUCUUUUGCUGUAAAAAAGCUUGAGGAAGGUGGCUUGAGAUUCGUCUUAAGUGUUUAUAGCCUCUUGCCUAUGCAGUCGGAGAGAUUGAGGUCUGCAGCGUAGAUCCUUCGGGGCUAAAUGCAUUUGUGCUAAGUUAUAGCAUUUUAUAGACAACUUGUUGACUAUGAUUUGUCUUGUAGCUUACUCGCUUAUGUUAUUUACCUACGCUUAGGAUGUUGAGCGCAUGUCUCUCUCU